UUUGGCUUAAUUCCAGUUUGGGUCCCUGAUGUUUCACAAAUGUGCGAUCUGCACCCCCUGUGUUUGAAAUGUGCGGUCAAGGUCCCUCAUGAUUCUAGAACGAUCUGCUGAGGCCCUUCCGUUAAGUUCCGUCAGUUGACUAAACGAAAGUCCCUGACUAAAUUCAUUAAUUCUGAAAAAGCAAAUUGGUGACAGAAAUAAUCCGUCACAAACACAGGCCUCUUCCAACCAAUCCAAAAAUACAACCCCCCUCAACACAAUACAGAAACACAAACUUGGAAUCAAAAAUAAAAUCCAGAAACACAAAC
rnacentral:lncRNA from 1 species